AGCUCCAGUAGCGUACAUUAAAGUUGUUGCAGUUAAAAAGCUCGUAGUUGGACUUCUGCUGAAGAUAACCGGGGUCUGCUUUUGAAGUAGUAUCUUGGUGUGCCUUCAGCAUCAUUCUAAAAAACGUUUCUGUACUUUACUGUUCGGGGCGGUAUUUAGAACUUUUACUUUGAGAAAAUUAGAGUGUUUCAAGCAGGCUGACGUCUUGAAUACUGCAGCAUGGAAUAAUAAAAUAGGAUUUUAGUUCUACUUUGUUGGUUUUAAGAACUGAAUUAAUGAUUAAUAGGGACAGUUGGGGGCAUUCGUAUUUAACUGUCAGAGGUGAAAUUCUUAAAUUUGUUAAAGACGAACUACUGCGAAAGCACUUGCCAAAGAUGUUUUCA
rnacentral:rRNA from 1 species